rnacentral:rRNA from 1 species
CCAGACUCCUAUGGGAGGCAGCAGUGGGGAAUAUUGGGCAAUGGGCGCAAGCCUGACCCAGCAACGCCGCGUGAAGGAAGAAGGCUUUCGGGUUGUAAACUUCUUUUGACAGGGAAGAGUAGAAGACGGUACCUGUCGAAUAAGCCACGGCUAACUACGUGCCAGCAGCCGCGGUAAUACGUAGGUGGCAAGCGUUGUCCGGAUUUACUGGGUGUAAAGGGCGUGCAGCCGGGAGUACAAGUCAGAUGUGAAAUCCCGCGGCUCAACCGCGGAACUGCAUUUGAAACUGUAUUUCUUGAGUACUGGAGAGGCAGACGGAAUUCCUAGUGUAGCGGUGAAAUGCGUAGAUAUUAGGAGGAACGCCAGUGGCGAAGGCGGUCUGCCGGACAGCAACUGACGGUGAGGCGCGAAAGCGUGGGGAGCAAACAGGAUUAGAUACCCGAGUA